UACGUAGGGUCCGAGCGUUGUCCGGAAUUAUUGGGCGUAAAGAGCUCGUAGGCGGUCUGUCGCGUCGGAUGUGAAAAUCAGGGCUCAACCCUGGACCUGCAUUCGAUACGGGCAGACUAGAGUUCGGUAGGGGAGACUGGAAUUCCUGGUGUAGCGGUGAAAUGCGCAGAUAUCAGGAGGAACACCGGUGGCGAAGGCGGAUCUCUGGGCCUUACCUGACGCUGAGGCGCGAAAGCAUGGGGAGCGAACAGG
rnacentral:rRNA from 1 species